GAUGAACGCUGGCGGCGUGCCUAAUACAUGCCAGUCGAGCGAACAGACGAGGAGCUUGCUCCUCUGACGUUAGCGGCGGACGGGUGAGUAACACGUGGAUAACCUACCUAUAAGACUGGGAUAACUUCGGGAAACCGGAGCUAAUACCGGAUAAUAUAUUGAACCGCAUGGUUCAAUAGUGAAAGACGGUUUUGCUGUCACUUAUAGAUGGAUCCGCGCCGCAUUAGCUGGUUGGUAAGGUAACGGCUUACCAAGGCGACGAUGCGUAGCCGACCUGAGAGGGUGAUCGGCCACACUGGAACUGAGACACGGUCCAGACUCCUACGGGAGGCAGCAGUAGGGAAUCUUCCGCAAUGGGCGAAAGCCUGACGGAGCAACGCCGCGUGAGUGAUGAAGGUCUUCGGAUCGUAAAACUCUGUUAUUAGGGAAGAACAAAUGUGUAAGUAACUAUGCACGUCUUGACGGUACCUAAUCAGAAAGCCACGGCUAACUACGUG
rnacentral:rRNA from 1 species